AAACCAUUAGUUGAUUUCACAAAGAUAACAAACGUCAACAUUACGGACUUAACGGCGGAUGAUGAUCUAUUUUGGUUGUGUGUAGGCAAGAGGGCGAAGAGACACGGCAGAUGCAGUCCAGACAUGUUGGGGGAGCUUGGAUACAACACAAGAGUGGAACUUGAGGGGAGGAUGACCUGAUGACCCGAGUUUCCAAUAACAUGCCAUAAAUAAUGAGCUGCGCCGGCGACAGCCAGAUCUUCCACAUAUCAUGGACAGGAUGAAGCGUACUCAAAGGCUGAAUGG